CCUACGUGAGGCAGCAGUAGGGAAUCUUCCACAAUGGGCGAAAGCCUGAUGGAGCAACGCCGCGUGGGUGAAGACGGUCUUCGGAUCGUAAAACCCUGUUGUUCGAGAAGAAAGUGCGUGAGAGUAACUGUUCACGUUUCGACGGUAUCUAACCAGAAAGCCACGGCUCACUACGUGCCAGCAGCCGCGGUAAUUCGUAGGUGGCAAGCGUUUUCCGGAUUUAUUUGUCGUAAAGGGAACGCAGGCGGUCUUGUAAGUCUGAGGUGAAAGCCUUCGGCUUAACCGGAGUAGUGCAUGGGAAACUGGGAGACUUGUGUGCAGAAGAGGAGAGUGGAAUUCCAGGUGUAGCGGUGAAAUGCGUAGAUAUAUGGAAGAACACCAGUGGCGAAAGCGGCUCUCUGGUCUGUAACUGACGCUGAGGUUCGAAAGCGUGGGUAGCAAACAGGAUUAGAUACCCCAGUAGUC
rnacentral:rRNA from 1 species